rnacentral:tRNA from 1 species
GGAGAGGUGGCAGAGUGGUCGAAUGCGCUGGACUCGAAAUCCAGUGUACGUUUAGGCGUACCGUCGGUUCGAAUCCGACCCUCUCCGCCA